rnacentral:rRNA from 1 species
CCCUUAGAUGUCCUGGGCCGCACGCGCGCUACACUGAGUGUCUGAGAUACGAGGCUGCCUGGUCCGGCAAGGUCUAGGUAAUCGCUAAAAGACACAUCAUGCUUGGGAUAGAUUAUUGCAAAUAUUAAUCUUGAACGAGGAAUUCCUAGUAAGCGCAAGUCAACAGCUUGCGUUGAUUACGUCCCUGCCCUUUGUACACACCGCCCGUCGCUACUACUGAUUGGAUGUUUAAGCGAGGUUAUCGAACUGCUAGCGACUUAGCUUCGGUGAGGUCGCAGUGUGGGAAGUGAACCUAGCUUUGGUGUCUAGAGGAAGUAAAAGUCGUAACA